rnacentral:rRNA from 1 species
GUAGGGUCCGAGCGUUAUCCGGAAUCAUUGGGCGUAAAGAGCUCGUAGGCGGUUCAGCAAGUCGGCUGUGAAAGUUCGAGGCUCAACCUCGAAAUUGCAGUCGAUACUGCUGUGACUUGAAUUCGGUAGAGGAGAAUGGAAUUCCCGGUGUAGCGGUGAAAUGCGCAGAUAUCGGGAGGAACACCAGUAGCGAAGGCGGUUCUCUGGGCCGAUAUUGACGCUGAGGAGCGAAAGCGUGGGGGGAGCAAACAGGAUUAGAUACCCUGGUAGUCCACGCCCGUAAACGUUGGAUGCUAGGUGUGGCGGUCUACCAACGACUGCCGUGCCGAAGCUAACGCAUUAAGCAUCCCCGCCUGGGGAGUACGGCCGCAAGGCUA